CUCUGCGUCCAGACCCUCUCUCUCGGCAGUUUCUCCUUUUUCUUAUUUAUUGCAAUUUCAAGCUUUGAUCUAGCUCUAUCCCUUUGAAAUUUGAUAAAACCUUGUGAAGCAAAGUCGGAGAGCUUGUCAAGGUCUUCAAUUUGAUAAGAGCCAAUCAUCAAUUGGUGCACUCUAGGGAGUUCAAAAUUCUAGGGUUCUUGGGCUUGGAUUUGGGGAUUUUGGGAGUUUUCACUUCCAUUGAGGACAUGGAAAAGAGGUGGCGGACGACGAUCUACCACGAUUCUAGACGAACACGGAGACCUAUUUUUAUUUUUUGCUAUCUUUUGUAUUAAAACUCUCUAAUAUUUUGUAAAUGUAAUAUUAACUAACUCGUAAAACUUUAGUUUAAUUAGUAUAAUGUUGUAAGCCAUGGACUUUUAAAUUCUAACUACGCUUUUUGGACUGUAACUUGAUGUAACCAAAGUAUGUUCCUUGUUGGAUGAGAUGGAGGAAUGGGAUUUUGUAUGUAUGUAGUCACUUUGGGGAUGUGAUAUAAUAUAUGUAUAUUGCGUUGGGACAGGAUAUGUUAGAUUUAAGGCCCAGUGAGGCCAUUGCAUUUAUUUAUUUAUUUAUUUAUUUU